rnacentral:rRNA from 1 species
CCUACGGGGCGCUGCAGUGGGGAAUAUUGGACAAUGGGCGAAAGCCUGAUCCAGCCAUGCCGCGUGUGUGAAGAAGGCCUUCGGGUUGUAAAGCACUUUCAGUGGGGAAGAAAGCCUUGGGGCUAAUACCCUCGAGGAAGGACAUCACCCACAGAAGAAGCACCGGCUAACUCCGUGCCAGCAGCCGCGGUAAUACGGAGGGUGCGAGCGUUAAUCGGAAUUACUGGGCGUAAAGCGCGCGUAGGCGGUCUGAUAAGCCGGUUGUGAAAGCCCCGGGCUCAACCUGGGAACGGCAUCCGGAACUGUCAGGCUAGAGUGCAGGAGAGGAAGGUAGAAUUCCCGGUGUAGCGGUGAAAUGCGUAGAGAUCGGGAGGAAUACCAGUGGCGAAGGCGGCCUUCUGGACUGACACUGACGCUGAGGUGCGAAAGCGUGGGUAGCAAACAGGAUUAGAUACCCCGGGUAGUC